CGAUGCAAACGGGCGAAGCCCAAUUUUUAUGAGGACAAAAUCCCGAUUUUCUCCUCCAAGAUGGAUCGAGCUGCGCCUUCUCCAUCGGGAGGGUGCGGGAGCGCCGCCGUCGCCUCAGACCUCGGCGUCCUCCGCCUCAUCCUCGCUGCCUCGGCGUCCUCCGCCUCAUCCUCGCCGCCGUCGCUACCCUCCUCUUCCCCGGUCCCAAGAAGCUAUCCGCUGCCGGAGGAGAUCACCGCCGCGGCUGUGCUCUGUUCAGGAUCUACAUCCUCGUCCAUAUAUAGGAGGCAUCCACACCAAGAAGAGUGAGGAGCACCAAGGACUUCCGGCGCCUGUUCAGGAUCUACAUCUUCCCGAGCGAGUUCUUGGUUGAUCUCUUCCUCUUUGACCACCUCCCAGGCUAUGUGUUGUUGUUCCCUGCCGCAUACUCAAGUUCUGGGCUUUCUUAGGAAUCAUGUUGCAGAUUCCCCUUAUCGUAUUGACAUCUUACCUCAAAAAUAAAUUCAGAGACACGAUGGUUGGCAAUAUGAUCUUUUGGUUCUUUUUCUGCAUCUACGGGCAACCUAUAUGCCUUCUCUUGUAUUACCAUGAUGUGAUGAACAGGAUCAACUAGACAACAUAAACUUCUGCAGCUAACCGUGAUGUAUAUCAUUUUAUCAUGUGUAUGAUAGCUAGCCUUUUCUCACUCUUGUAUCUGUACAUAAGCUUCAUUCUGGUGAGGUUCUACAUGUAACUGUAAUGGAAAUGUUAUUCCCCUUUCUGCACUGGUAGUGCCACCUGCUGACCUGCUCAUGAUACUAGUAUAACAUCAUUUGGUGUCUAGCAUGGAUUAAAGUUAAGUAUCCCUGUAAUCUGAACGUAGAUCUGUGAUGCCAUCUGGUACUCCAUCUUGUAUCUGUACAUAAGCUCUGCUGUUUUAGACUUGAGUAAAUUGUAGCUUGCAA